rnacentral:rRNA from 1 species
UCGGGAAUUUUGGGCAAUGGGCGAAAGCCUGACCCAGCAACGCCGCGUGAAGGAUGAAGUAUUUCGGUAUGUAAACUUCGAAAGAAUAGGAAGAAUAAAUGACGGUACUAUUUAUAAGGUCCGGCUAACUACGUGCCAGCAGCCGCGGUAAUACGUAGGGACCAAGCGUUGUUCGGAUUUACUGGGCGUAAAGGGCGCGUAGGCGGCAAUUCAAGUCAUCUGUGAAAUCUCCGGGCUCAACUCGGAACGGUCAGAUGAUACUGCUUUGCUAGAGUGCAGAAGGGGCAAUCGGAAUUCUUGGUGUAGCGGUGAAAUGCGUAGAUAUCAAGAGGAACACCUGAGGUGAAGACGGGUUGCUGGGCUGACACUGACGCUGAGGCGCGAAAGCCAGGGGAGCAAACGGGAUUAGAUACCCUCGUAGUCCCUGAGCGGGCUGGCAAGGCGCAU